rnacentral:rRNA from 1 species
UACGUAGGGUGCAAGCGUUAAUCGGAAUUACUGGGCGUAAAGCGUGCGCAGGCGGCCGUGUGUGUCAGGUGUGAAAGCCCGGAGCUUAACUCCGGAAUUGCGCCUGAAACUACAUGGACUAGAGCAUUGGAGAGGGUAGCGGAAUUCACGGUGUAGCAGUGAAAUGCGUAGAUAUCGAUGAGGAACACCAGAGGCGAGGCGGCUACCUGGACAAAUUGCUGACGCUCAGGCACGAAGCGUGGGGAGCAAAAGG